CGGGUGUGCGCGGGGAGUCCGGGAAUAACCCCGGGGCGGUAACGCGGGGCCGGGGCGCAGACCCCGAGGCACUGCUGCGCGGCCGGGGGUGCGGCCCCACGACACUAAGGCAGAGCCGGGGGUGCGGCCCCGUGUUACCGAACGGAUGGCGCUAACGGAGGUCCGGGACUGCAGUCUCUACGGCGCUAACGCGCAACCGGGGGUGCAGCCCCCAUAGCGGUAACGCGUGGCCCGUGUGCGACCCCCGUGGCGGUGAUGCACGGGCGGGGUACGGCCGCACGGUACUAAGGGAUGGCCGGGGCGCGGCUCCACGGCACCGCUGCGUGCGUGGGGGGUGCAGCCCUACGGCUCGGGGCACACGGCACACGGCACCCCGCAGCACGGCCACCAGAGUCCCGUGGUGUCCAGGCGCUGUCCCGCAGCGCCGUGCCCCUCACACGACGGACCCUUCGUGGGGGUGCCGGCAGGGAGCAACGCUCAGCGCUGCGGGUUUCGGGGGGCCGUUCGCAGCGGUGCGGAGCUCCCAGCGGUGCUGGCACAGGGCGGGCACGCGGAGGAGCAGCACGCCCCGCGCUGACUAACGCGCUCUUAUCAACCGCUCAAACAAAAUGUAAACUUCAAAAAGCAACCAAACUGGGACUUGCCGCUGACUCACUGAUGACAGCGAAAAGUCAACAGAACUAUCCCAUCUGCGUGCUCCGCGCUGACUCCGCAGGACUGCCGAGACGUCCCGCGACCCCGAGCCGCCCGGUGCUGCCAUCAGGGAGGUGUCCCCGCUUGUCCCACGGCCCCGUGCCCAUCCCUCACACUUACGGCCGCUCCUGGCACAGCUCCGCCGGCUCCGAGCGCAGUGUCUGCGUGUCCCCGCUCACACGCCGAGGGAUGGGAGCCUGCCGGAGGAGCAAACCCAUUAACAUGCAAUCAAUAAAUCUAAUUAAAUUAAAUGACCGUAGCCACCCUCUACUAAAAUUAGAAGACACAUUUCCAAUGAUUCUACCCGAGAGUUCUGUUCUAAUGUCUUUGUUACCCUGAGGCACUGUGGUUUCGCUGUGCAGACUCUAAGCUCUAUUUGAUAGAUCUGUUCGUGACACGUAGGGAAGGAGUGAAGAUGAAGGCUGGGUGAAAUUGGAGGCACACCUGAGCUCCCAUUGCUCCCAGACAACGGGCUGCACCACCUCCUGCUCUAGGAACGUCUCAGAACCAGAGAUUAGGUGUAAUGCACCGAGGCACAUCUCAUGGCAGCACAGUGCUGGUCCAACCCAGCUGGUGCAGGCUGGGAGCGGUGGGUGAGCCUCCUGCAAGGGCUGUUCUCCACUUCGUCUCUUG
rnacentral:lncRNA from 1 species